rnacentral:rRNA from 2 species
AUGGACGAAAGUCUGAUGGAGCAACGCCGCGUGAGUGAAGAAGGGUUUCGGCUCGUAAAACUCUGUUGUUAAAGAAGAACAUAUCUGAGAGUAACUGUUCAGGUAUUGACGGUAUUUAACCAGAAAGCCACGGCUAACUACGUGCCAGCAGCCGCGGUAAUACGUAGGUGGCAAGCGUUGUCCGGAUUUAUUGGGCGUAAAGCGAGCGCAGGCGGUUUUUUAAGUCUGAUGUGAAAGCCUUCGGCUUAACCGAAGAAGUGCAUCGGAAACUGGGAAACUUGAGUGCAGAAGAGGACAGUGGAACUCCAUGUGUAGCGGUGAAAUGCGUAGAUAUAUGGAAGAACACCAGUGGCGAAGGCGGCUGUCUGGUCUGUAACUGACGCUGAGGCUCGAGAGUAUGGGUAGCAAACAGGAUUAGAUACCCUGGUAGUCCAUACCGUAAACGAUGAAUGCUAAGUGUUGGAGGGUUUCCGCCCUUCAGUGCUGCAGCUAACGCAUUAAGCAUUCCGCCUGGGGAGUACGGCCGCAAGGCUGAAACUCAAAGGAAUUGACGGGGGCCCGCACAAGCGGUGGAGCAUGUGGUUUAAUUCGAAGCUACGCGAAGAACCUUACCAGGUC